AUAUAAAAUAUGUAUAUAUAUAUUUGCUGCGAGAGGGGAUCGGAGGAGGGGGUCCGUGAAGCAUUGAGAGAGUGUAUACUUAAACGAAGCAGAAUUGAGGAAAGAUUCAUGUAGCUGAUCCCAAUUAGUUUAGGAUUAAAAUUUUAUGGAGUUGAAUUGUGUUGAAUGUAAUUUGCUUGUACUUUUUUUUUUCGGAAAAGGAAAAAAAAUAUCCUAAACAUUAUGGCUUUC